UAUGUCUUUCCGAUGCCUCCCA
rnacentral:miRNA from 1 species